UUCCCUCUACAAAUUUUCAGUGAGAACACUUAGCGGGCAAAAUUUCCCCGUCAAACAAAAUUUCCGCCGGCCAUUCUCCUCAGACAUUCCCUCUUUGCAAACCCAGUGCUCUCCACCGACCGCCAUUCUCCAUUCUCCUCAGACAUUCCCUCUUUGUAAACCCAGUGCUCCCCACCGACCACCAUUCUUCUCAGACACCGCCAUCUCCGCAGUCAAAGUGGUCGCUGCCCAGUGCUCUCCGCCGACCGUGGUCUCGCCGCGUCCAACACCGCAUCGCCUCGGACAGUGCCGUUGCCUCGGACAGUGACGUCGCCUAAAGUCUUGUAGAAGAAUGGCCCCUGGGCCUUCUAAAGCUGGAAAUAAAUCGGGGAAGGUUGUGACUCCUUUGAAAGGAAAUUCUGGGAGAAACCUUGAGAUACUUAAGCCCAAACAGCCUCCUAAGGUUGCUAUGAAGGACAUGGUUGUGGAGGCUGGUGAGCAACUAAAUACCAAACAGAGUGGAAAACAUGCUGGUUCUGACUGCCUGGAAACUGUUCGACAGAAUGCCGAGGUGAAGGUUCAAAAAUUGGGAACAAAGCCUUGUCUUAAUGAGGAAGAAUACCUCCGGAGGGCGUCAUAUAUAGUUUUGGAACGCUUUUGCUUGACCUUCUCAGUGGCAAACACAUCCCUCCAAGCCAUGUUCUGUCUCAUGUAUUAAUGGGUAUAUACCAGUGAAUGGUGAAUUUAUGUUUUUAUCUCCUCUUGGUGAAGCUUGCUUGAGAUCGGACUUGACUGCCAUAUAUGAAAUCUUAGAAAAACUUGGGUACAAAGAUGACGAAGGAGCAGCUACCGAGCUUUACUACACACUUCCUCCUAUGGUCCAAUGUUGGUGGCAGUAUGCAGUUAAUAGUUUGGAGAGAUGCAAAGGUAUCAUGCUAUAGAGUUUAUUAUCUCUCUUAGCUCUAGACUUCACAUUUAGAAUGGACCGAUAUUCUAUCAAGUUAUAUAGAGUAGGUAUGAUUUGAUCAUUAGAACGUUGUGAUCAUUUAGACUUGG